rnacentral:rRNA from 1 species
UUAAGUUAUUAAGGGCGCACGGUGGAUGCCUUGGCACUAGAAGCCGAUGAAGGACGUUACUAACGACGAUAUGCUUUGGGGAGCUGUAAGUAAGCUUUGAUCCAGAGAUUUCCGAAUGGGGAAACCCAGCAUGAGUUAUGUCAUGUUAUCGAUAUGUGAAUACAUAGCAUAUCAGAAGGCACACCCGGAGAACUGAAACAUCUUAGUACCCGGAGGAAGAGAAAGAAAAUUCGAUUCCCUUAGUAGCGGCGAGCGAAACGGGAAGAGCCCAAACCAACAAGCUUGCUUGUUGGGGUUGUAGGACACUCUAUACGGAGUUACAAAGGACGACAUUAGACGAAUCAUCUGGAAAGAUGAAUCAAAGAAGGUAAUAAUCCUGUAGUCGAAAAUGUUGUCUCUCUUGAGUGGAUCCUGAGUACGACGGAGCACGUGAAAUUCCGUCGGAAUCUGGGAGGACCAUCUCCUAAGGCUAAAUACUCUCUAGUUACCGAUAGUGAACCAGUACCGUGAGGGAAAGGUGAAAAGCACCCCGGAAGGAGAGUGAAAUAGAACCUGAAACCGUGUGCUUACAAGUAGUCAGAGCCCGUUAAUGGGUGAUGGCGUGCCUUUUGUAGAAUGAACCGGCGAGUUACGAUUUGAUGCAAGGUUAAGCAGUAAAUGUGGAGCCGUAGCGAAAGCGAGUCUGAAUAGGGCGUUUAGUAUUUGGUCGUAGACCCGAAACCAGGUGAUCUACCCUUGGUCAGGUUGAAGUUCAGGUAACACUGAAUGGAGGACCGAACCGACUUACGUUGAAAAGUGAGCGGAUGAACUGAGGGUAGCGGAGAAAUUCCAAUCGAACCUGGAGAUAGCUGGUUCUCUCCGAAAUAGCUUUAGGGCUAGCCUCAAGUGAUGAUUAUUGGAGGUAGAGCACUGUUUGGACGAGGGGCCCCUCUCGGGUUACCGAAUUCAGACAAACUCCGAAUGCCAAUUAAUUUAACUUGGGAGUCAGAACAUGGGUGAUAAGGUCCGUGUUCGAAAGGGAAACAGCCCAGACCACCAGCUAAGGUCCCAAAAUAUAUGUUAAGUGGAAAAGGAUGUGGCGUUGCCCAGACAACUAGGAUGUUGGCUUAGAAGCAGCCAUCAUUUAAAGAGUGCGUAAUAGCUCACUAGUCGAGUGACACUGCGCCGAAAAUGUACCGGGGCUAAACAUAUUACCGAAGCUGUGGAUUGUCCUUUGGACAAUGGUAGGAGAGCGUUCUAAGGGCGUUGAAGCAUGAUCGUAAGGACAUGUGGAGCGCUUAGAAGUGAGAAUGCCGGUGUGAGUAGCGAAAGACGGGUGAGAAUCCCGUCCACCGAUUGACUAAGGUUUCCAGAGGAAGGCUCGUCCGCUCUGGGUUAGUCGGGUCCUAAGCUGAGGCCGACAGGCGUAGGCGAUGGAUAACAGGUUGAUAUUCCUGUACCACCUAUAAUCGUUUUAAUCGAUGGGGGGACGCAGUAGGAUAGGCGAAGCGUGCGAUUGGAUUGCACGUCUAAGCAGUAAGGCUGAGUAUUAGGCAAAUCCGGUACUCGUUAAGGCUGAGCUGUGAUGGGGAGAAGACAUUGAGUCUUCGAGUCGUUGAUUUCACACUGCCGAGAAAAGCCUCUAGAUAGAAAAUAGGUGCCCGUACCGCAAACCGACACAGGUAGUCAAGAUGAGAAUUCUAAGGUGAGCGAGCGAACUCUCGUUAAGGAACUCGGCAAAAUGACCCCGUAACUUCGGGAGAAGGGGUGCUCUUUAGGGUUAACGCCCAGAAGAGCCGCAGUGAAUAGGCCCAAGCGACUGUUUAUCAAAAACACAGGUCUCUGCUAAACCGUAAGGUGAUGUAUAGGGGCUGACGCCUGCCCGGUGCUGGAAGGUUAAGAGGAGUGGUUAGCUUCUGCGAAGCUACGAAUCGAAGCCCCAGUAAACGGCGGCCGUAACUAUAACGGUCCUAAGGUAGCGAAAUUCCUUGUCGGGUAAGUUCCGACCCGCACGAAAGGCGUAACGAUUUGGGCACUGUCUCAACGAGAGACUCGGUGAAAUCAUAGUACCUGUGAAGAUGCAGGUUACCCGCGACAGGACGGAAAGACCCCGUGGAGCUUUACUGUAGCCUGAUAUUGAAAUUCGGCACAGCUUGUACAGGAUAGGUAGGAGCCUUUGAAACGUGAGCGCUAGCUUACGUGGAGGCGCUGGUGGGAUACUACCCUAGCUGUGUUGGCUUUCUAACCCGCACCACUUAUCGUGGUGGGAGACAGUGUCAGGCGGGCAGUUUGACUGGGGCGGUCGCCUCCUAAAAGGUAACGGAGGCGCUCAAAGGUUCCCUCAGAAUGGUUGGAAAUCAUUCAUAGAGUGUAAAGGCAUAAGGGAGCUUGACUGCGAGACCUACAAGUCGAGCAGGGUCGAAAGACGGACUUAGUGAUCCGGUGGUUCCGCAUGGAAGGGCCAUCGCUCAACGGAUAAAAGCUACCCCGGGGAUAACAGGCUUAUCUCCCCCAAGAGUUCACAUCGACGGGGAGGUUUGGCACCUCGAUGUCGGCUCAUCGCAUCCUGGGGCUGUAGUCGGUCCCAAGGGUUGGGCUGUUCGCCCAUUAAAGCGGUACGCGAGCUGGGUUCAGAACGUCGUGAGACAGUUCGGUCCCUAUCCGUCGUGGGCGUAGGAAAUUUGAGAGGAGCUGUCCUUAGUACGAGAGGACCGGGAUGGACAUACCUCUGGUGUACCAGUUGUCGUGCCAACGGCAUAGCUGGGUAGCUAUGUGUGGACGGGAUAAGUGCUGAAAGCAUCUAAGCAUGAAGCCCCCCUCAAGAUGAGAUUUCCCAACUUCGGUUAUAAGAUCCCUCAAAGAUGAUGAGGUUAAUAGGUUCGAGGUGGAAGCAUGGUGACAUGUGGAGCUGACGAAUACUAAUCGAUCGAAGACUUAAUCAA